rfam:Camelus ferus unplaced genomic scaffold scaffold100062, whole genome shotgun sequence.
GUGGGUAUACCUCAACUGGUAGAGCCCAUGCUCAGCAUGCAUGAGGUCCUGGGUUCAAUCCCCAGUACCUCCA